UUUCAUUUCCAUUCUGUACCCUAAAGAAGUCAAAUCGAAAAAUCAACUUGAAAGCUUAAUUUUAAAUCAAUAUAGCAUGAUUUCGACGCACAGACAUUCACACGAACAUCGCUAAAUCGCCUUAGCUUUUUACAACUACCAAGAUCGUGAUCGAAUCCAUUCUCUUUUGGUCGAUAUAACUACCUUUUGCCUUGACUAUUGCUCUGAGUCGGUCUAACAAUGACUUUCCUCAGCGCAUCCAUAAUGGCAUAUUAUUUGGUUCUUACCUUGCUCUCUUAAAUGGCCGAAAAAGAAAAGUUCAUUGGAUUGGCAUCUGGCGAAUUGGAUAGCCGCGAUGUGAAUGAAAUGAAGUACAGAACGAACGGUGCCGAGUCAUGUUGGUACGUCCAUGAUCUAGGAUCGAAAUGUUUGUAUGUUCAAAGCAGCUUUAAAAAUGUUUUAACUACAGGCUAAACCAACGUGCCACUCCACUGUUGCCAACAUUCACACCAAAAACUUGAACAUUUAGUUCUUUAUUAUCGUAUGCGGGCA